rnacentral:rRNA from 1 species
GAUGAACGCUGGCGGCGUGCCUAAUACAUGCAAGUCGAACGAAACUUCUUUAUCACCGAGUGCUUGCACUCACCGAUAAAGAGUGGAGUGGCGAACGGGUUAGUAACACGAGGGCAACCUGCCCAAAAGAGGGGGAUAACACUUGUAAACAGGUGCUAAUACCGCAUAACCAUAGUUACCGCAUGGUAACUAUGUAAAAGGUGGCUAUACUACCGCUAUUGGAUGGGCCGUCGGGGCAUUAGCUAGUUGGUAGGGUAAAGGCUUACCAAGGCAAUGAUGCGUAGCCGAAUUGAGAGGUUGAUCGGCCACAUUGUGACUGAGACACGGCCCAAACUCCUACGGGAGGCAGCAGUAGGGAAUCUUACACAAUGGGCGAAAGCCUGAUGGAGCAACGCCGCGUGGGUGAAGAAGGUCUUCGGAUCGUAAAACCCUGUUGUUAGAGAAGAAAGUGAGUGAGAGUAACUGUUCACGUUUCGACGGUAUCUAACCAGAAAGCCACGGCUAACUACGUG